AAAAAAAAGUAUUUUAACCAAUAGUUACAACCAGGAUCAAAAGUUUUAACUUAUUUUUGGAUUUCAAAAGUUUUCCAACAACCACAAUUCUUGUUCUACCGAGUUGCUGCAUUCUUCCUUGUCAUUGGAGGGGCAAUGGAAUUCACCCCUCUGAUCGCCCUUUUGUUCUUUGCACAGAAGCUUACACUAACUUUCCUUCCCCCUCCUUGAAUUGCCUGACUUAGAAAGUGAAGAACCGACAUUCAUAGCUUCUGCUUCCUUAUGCGCCCUUUUUUCUGCACCAUUAUAGGAGCACAUGUAAAAAACAAUAGUACUCUCAUUGAACCAGACCUCAAAUUGGAAAAUGGAAAUGCCAUAUUAUAGCUUACAUUAGAAUCAAAUGGCUGCUUGAGAGCUUUGUAUUCCGGUUUCACAUUCCUAUUUCCAUUACAGAAUGGAGACCUUAUUAUGAAUAAUGUUGAAUCGUAAUUAUUUUUAUAAAUAUCCUAUUUAUUCAUUUCAACCUUUUAUUUAAGUUUAAUUCAAAUUUUAGUGACACUCGAAUUGUUAAAGAUUCGGAUUGUCACAUGUUUACUUCAAAACUAGAUUGAAAACCAUCAUUUCUAGAAUCAAAAUUUUGCUAAAUCAUCACGGAAUGCAGUCAUCACAAUUUAAUAUAAUGAUCGAGAACAAAACAAAUUGUAAAUGAGUUCCUUUGCAUUUCUUUGUCCUAGAAAGUAUUAAUUUCAACAAACUCAAAAUGCUGCUCAAAGGACACCUUUGAAUGAGAAACUAGGUAAACAAACUGUGGGGAAUCUGUUUACCUAAAGUCAUCACCGGCAAAGGAUUACAAGAUUAUAUCUUGCCAAACCAGUAUAACAGGAAUUCCAACACGAAAGUCAAACACACAAAUCAACAACCUUUUUUUUUUUAACAAUAAAAAACAAAAAAAAUCAGGAGAAGAUUUUAACAGCCUUCAAUGUGGGAUUACCUCCCAUCGGAGUGGACUUCAUAAUCGAUCAAAGUAACCAUAGCUGCCGAAACUUUCAAUCUUACCAUCUUUGCGCGGAAGUGGAUUCAAAUUUCAUUUAGCACAAACCAUAUUACAAUGGGAAAGAUGGAUUUUCAAAAUGGAUUUGAGGUUUAUGGUUUGGGGUAUUUUUUAGUUUUUACACAAUUCUUCUCUCGAUUUUGUCCUACAGAGGCGAAGAGCAAUGAAAUGGAUUUGGGGGUUAGGGUUAGGGAUUCGGUUUGUCUGGAAAUGAUAAGGCGGGUUUGUUUGGAAUUGGGUAAGGCAUGCUUAGCUGAUGUGGAGGAUCUAAUUAACCAUUUAACGGUCCAAGUUAUUAGUCCGUCAUCCCUGUAAGCAGAUCUACCUACGAAUUUUUGAUUUGGCGCGUGAUGGAGUGGGACAGAGCAAAAUUUAGUGGUUAAUGGGACAUUUCAUGUAGUUCGAUGAGUAAGUUGUGAUAUAGUGCAAGUUCAGUGGCCAUUGAAACAUUCAACUCUAACUCGUU
rnacentral:lncRNA from 1 species